rnacentral:rRNA from 1 species
GAUGAACGCUGACAGAAUGCUUAACACAUGCAAGUCUUUGGCGAAGCUGUGCUCGCACAGCCUAGCCAAGGCGGACGGGUGAGUAACGCGUAAGGAACUUGCCCUGCAGUCAGGGAUAACAGACGGAAACGACUGAUAAGACCUGGUAAAGUCAGGCGGACUCAUGUCCAGCCUGAUGAAAAGAGAUGCUGCAGGAGAGCCUUGCGUCCUAUUAGCUUGUUGGUGGGGUAACGGCCCACCAAGGCGAUGAUAGGUAGCCGGCCUGAGAGGGUGGACGGCCACAAGGGGACUGAGAUACGGCCCUUACUCCUACGGGAGGCAGCAGUGGGGAAUAUUGGACAAUGGGGGCAACCCUGAUCCAGCAAUUCUGCGUGCACGAUGAAGGUUUUCGGAUUGUAAAGUGCUUUCAGCAGGGAAGAAAAAAAUGACGGUACCUGCAGAAGAAGCGACGGCUAAAUACGUG